GACGAACGCUGGCGGCAUGCCUAACACAUGCAAGUCGAACGGAAAGGCCCUGCUUUUGUGGGGUGCUCGAGUGGCGAACGGGUGAGUAACACGUGAGUAACCUGCCCUUGACUUUGGGAUAACUUCAGGAAACUGGGGCUAAUACCGGAUAGGAGCUCCUGCUGCAUGGUGGGGGUUGGAACGUUUAGGCGGUUGGGGAUGGACUCGCGGCUGAUGAGCUUGUUGGUGGGGUAGUGGCUUACCAAGGGAUAGACGGAUAGCCGGCCUGAGAGGGGGACCGGGGUCAUGGGGACUGAGAGAGGCCCCAGACGGCAACGGGAGGCAGCGGGGGGAAGUCUGGUACAGUGGGAGGGAGUGUGAUGCAGAAACGCCGGGUGCGGAAAGACGGUCUGCGGGUUGUAAACCGCUGUCGCUUGAGACGAAGCGGGAGUGACGGUAAUGGGUGAAGAAGCACCGGCUAACUACGUG
rnacentral:rRNA from 1 species